GGAAGCCAGCCACCGCUCUCCAAGGACUCUCGAGCAGCUCCAUCUACAGAUUCACAUGGAGAAGAAUUAAGGGUUCCUGCCAAUCACCAGCACCACUUUGCCAGCCUUGUAAGUGGGCCACCUUGGAAUUGGAGCCUCCAGUUCCUACUGACAUCUGACUGCAACAUCAUGAGAGACCCUGAGUUUGAACCACCCAGCUGAGCUGCUUCUGAGCUAACCCACUGAAACCGUGAAAGUACCUGAAUGAAACAACACCCAGUAGCCACUAGCACACCUAGCUCCCAGAUCUGUUUUUGAUGCCAUUCUUCAGUAAAAGGAAGCAAGGCUGCUUGGAGAAAUUGCUAUCAAGGACUGGGGUAGAAAAUAUACAAGAUGAAAUUGGAGCAUCUUGUAGUGCUUGAAAACAGUUGGCAUCUGUGUGAAGAUGUGAAUGGAGGAGGCAGAGUAGGCAGUGAGUGCCGCAGCCACAGCUUGUGUUCUCUGCAGCCCUGGCACAGAAGAUAGGAACACUCAUGGGGGAUGCGGCCACUGUGAUGUCUUCCCACACAAGAAGUGCCAAGUGCUUUUCUCAUGCUUUUCUGGAUUGUCCCAUGGUGGACGAGUCAGCAGGAGUGAGAUGGAGCAGCACAGUAGAGGGGUGUGCCACCUCUUUGAUCCAGCAAGUGGGAAGAACAGUCCCGGCCUCUUUGCACACAAGACCGUGAUACCAAUGCACCAUCACAGGCCCCACAGGGGAGCUGUCCGCUUCCCCACACAGCUGCUAGGGGCUCUUUUGCAUGUUCCCAACCUUUCCUGCCUUUAUCUGAUAUUCGUUCCUUAGAUCCUGGGAUGAGGAGGUGGACCAGCAGAAGGUGGGCUUGUGAAGGCAGCCCGGGGUCCAAAUCCUCCUGGCUCUUCAGCUUAGCGGGGUUGCUUAGACUCAGUGGUGUGCUGGAGCAGGCUCCUACCAGCUAGAAAGAACCAGUUCAAUACGUCUCUUCUCAACUCCAUGUUCAGAGUUGUCAGAGAACCAAUUGUUAAAUAUUUACUGGCACUCCACUGCUUAGAUUUUACCAGUGCUUGCAGUGCUAACCAGGAGCUCAUCCCUGGAGGAGAGGCAGAGAAUGUGUACUCCCAGAUGCAGCCAGCUUCCAGAAGAAGAGGUAGGAGCCAAGCAGAGCAUGCCCACAUCAAUCUUCCAGCAUUUAAUGGCCAUAGAAGUUACUGAACCUCCCUUGGAUGGAUAGAAGAUGGCAUUAUCUUUCUUAAAUAUGAUACCUCUUAUCUUUUUGUUCCCUUGACACUUGAGGAGGGAGGCCAAGGGUUGAUCAUGCAAGCAAGUUUGUGCAUUUUGCACAUUUAUUAAGUUAUGCUUUUGAGGAAAUUAAAAGAUCACAAGGGCUUCAA
rnacentral:lncRNA from 1 species